ensembl:lncRNA
CAAAUUCCUAGUCCAGACUUCAGCAAAACCUGUGCCAAGGUUUCAUGUCUCUCUUCAACUACCACUGAGGAGCUGAAUUAACAGACAAGACAGAUAGUGACAACUCGAGCAAGGGGUCACCUUCUCCGGCCACUUUCAGGGAAGGUCAGAGUCUAACAGUGAGCUGCUGAGCUCCCCCUGGGCACUUAGCCCUUCACCAAUAUCAUUAAACAUCGACCUCUCAGCUGUUGCCUUCGCAUUUUACAAAUAAGAAAACCCAAGCUCAGAGAGGUGCAGAAAGUGACCCAAGGUCCUAUAACAAAUACAUUUUGAAAAGGGAAGGGAUCAAGGGAAAAUGCAAAAAGAAGUGUCCUGAGUAUAAGCUGAGAGCCCCAAAGGCAUUCAGGAGCCUGAACUGCCAUUGUUUAUCUUCCAGAGAAGAUCAAAAUCUCUCCUUUAUUCCUAUGUGUUUGAAG